rnacentral:rRNA from 1 species
GUGCCAGCAGCCGCGGUAAUACGUAGGGUGCGAGCGUUAAUCGGAAUUACUGGGCGUAAAGCGUGCGCAGGCGGCGCCGCAAGUCGAGUGUGAAAUCCCCGAGCUUAACUUGGGAAUUGCGCUCGAAACUACGGUGCUGGAGUGUGGCAGAGGGAGGUGGAAUUCCACGUGUAGCGGUGAAAUGCGUAGAGAUGUGGAGGAACACCGAUGGCGAAGGCAGCCUCCUGGGCCAACACUGACGCUCAUGCACGAAAGCGUGGGGAGCAAACAGGAUUAGAUACCCCUGUAGUCC